GGGUUGUGAGGUUAAGCGACUAAGCGUACACGGUGGAUGCCCUGGCAGUCAGAGGCGAUGAAGGGCGUGCUAAUCUGCGAUAAGCGCCGGUAAGGUGAUAUGAACCGUUAUAACCGGCGAUACCCGAAUGGGGAAACCCAGUGUGAUUCGUCACACUAUCAUUAACUGAAUCCAUAGGUUAAUGAGGCGAACCGGGGGAACUGAAACAUCUAAGUACCCCGAGGAAAAGAAAUCAACCGAGAUUCCCCCAGUAGCGGCGAGCGAACGGGGAGGAGCCCAGAGCCUGAAUCAGCAUGUGUGUUAGUGGAAGCGUCUGGAAAGGUGCGCGAUACAGGGUGACAGCCCCGUACACAAAAGCGCAUGUGCUGUGAGCUCGAUGAGUAGGGCGGGACACGUGGUAUCCUGUCUGAAUAUGGGGGGACCAUCCUCCAAGGCUAAAUACUCCUGACUGACCGAUAGUGAACCAGUACCGUGAGGGAAAGGCGAAAAGAACCCCGGCGAGGGGAGUGAAAAAGAACCUGAAACCGUGUACGUACAAGCAGUGGGAGCACAGGUUUACCUGUGUGACUGCGUACCUUUUGUAUAAUGGGUCAGCGACUUAUAUUCUGUAGCAAGGUUAACCGUAUAGGGGAGCCGGAGGGAAACCGAGUCUUAACCGGGCGUUAAGUUGCAGGGUAUAGACCCGAAACCCGGUGAUCUAGCCAUGGGCAGGUUGAAGGUUGGGUAACACUAACUGGAGGACCGAACCGACUAAUGUUGAAAAAUUAGCGGAUGACCUGUGGCUGGGGGUGAAAGGCCAAUCAAACCGGGAGAUAGCUGGUUCUCCCCGAAAGCUAUUUAGGUAGCGCCUCGUGAAUUCAUCUCCGGGGGUAGAGCACUGUUUCGGCUAGGGGGCCAUCCCGGCUUACC
rnacentral:rRNA from 3 species